GAUUAUGGCUCAGGAUGAACGCUAGCUACAGGCUUAACACAUGCAAGUCGAGGGCAGCAUUAUCGAAGCUUGCUUUGAUAGAUGGCGACCGGCGCACGGGUGAGUAACGCGUAUCCAACCUUCCCAUCACGUCAGGGAUAGCCCGCCGAAAGGCGAAUUAAUACCUGAUGGUCUCCUUUGCAGACAUCUAACGAGGAGUAAAGAUUUAUUGGUGAUGGAUGGGGGAUGCGUCUGAUUAGGUAGUAGGCGGGUAACGGCCCACCUAGCCGACGAUCAGUAGGGGUUCUGAGAGGAAGGUCCCCCACAUUGGAACUGAGACACGGUCCAAACUCCUACGGGAGGCAGCAGUGAGGAAUAUUGGUCAAUGGACGGAAGUCUGAACCAGCCAAGUAGCGUGCAAGGAUGACGGCCCUAUGGGUUGUAAACUGCUUUUGUGCGGGAAUAAAGUAUGGGACGUGUCCCAUUUUGCAUGUACCGCACGAAUAAGGACCGGCUAAUUCCGUGCCAGCAGCGGC
rnacentral:rRNA from 1 species